GAUGAACGCUGGCGGCGUGCCUAACACAUGCAAGUCGAGCGAACGGACGAGAAGCUUGCUUUUCUGAUGUUAGCGGCGGACGGGUGAGUAACACGUGGAUAACCUACCUAUAAGACUGGGAUAACUUCGGGAAACCGGAGCUAAUACCGGAUAAUAUUUUGAACCGCAUGGUUCAAAAGUGAAAGACGGUCUUGCUGUCACGUAUAGAUGGAUCCGCGCUGCAUUAGCUAGUUGGUAAGGUAACGGCUUACCAAGGCAACGAUGCAUAGCCGACCUGAGAGGGUGAUCGGCCACACUGGAACUGGGACACGGUCCAGACUCCUACGGGAGGCAGCAGUAGGGAAUCGUCCGCAAUGGGCGGAAGCCUGACGGAGCAACGCCGCGUGAGUGAUGAAGGUCUUCGGAUCGUAAAACUCUGUUAUUAGGGAAGAACAUAUGUGUAAGUAACUGUGCACAUCUUGACGGUACCUAAUCAGAAAGCCACGGCUAACUACGUG
rnacentral:rRNA from 1 species